CAGAUCUACACAAGUGAUGACAUGACCUGGUGAUCAGGUGACCACACUGAUCAGGUGACCGCAUUGAUCAGGUGACCACACUGAUCAGGUGACCACACUGAUCAGGUAAAGCAGAUACUGACCUGACAGUCAGCUCACAUGGAUCACAAACCCUGC